CGGUUCAGGUUGAGCAACCGGGAAUUGUUUGGAGGGGACGCCGUCAGUUGGACCCUGACCAUGUCUGUUCUUCUUCUUCCAUGGCGGCUCUGUCCCGCAAAACCCUAUUUCUUGGUCGGUCCCUUUCGCUCCUGUCCCAUCUAGCUCGAGUUGAUCAUUCACUACCUGCUAUUCGAACCAUGAGCUCCGGGUCUCCUCAGCGCGUCUUCCAGCUCAAGUUAGAUCCACUGACCGGUAACUCAGAAUGGGUCGUGAUUGAAGAAGACGAGGAAGAAAGCUUUGCAUACAAGUUUCAGCAACCUCUUCUGGCCAUGACCUCCUAUUUAGAUAUGCUCAAUGAUUCUAGGAGGAAUAGAGCUUUCCGGGAAGCCAUUGAAAAAACCAUUACCAAGCCCUGCCACGUCCUCGACAUCGGUGCUGGCACUGGACUUCUAUCGAUGAUGGCUGCGCGAGCUAUGGGCUCUGGUGACUCUAUCGCGCCUGGAAGCGGGAAAGGGAUGGUAACAGCAUGCGAGUCUUACCUUCCAAUGGUAAAGUUGAUGAAAAAAGUUAUCCGCUUGAAUCAAUUGGAAGGUAAUAUCAAAGUCAUCAACAAGCGCUCUGAUGAACUCAAAGUUGGCGUUGAUAUUCCGUCGCGUGCAGAUGUACUUGUAAGCGAGAUACUUGACUCAGAACUGCUGGGCGAGGGACUUAUACCGACGUUGCAAAAUGCACAUGACAUGUUAUUGGUGGAAAAUCCUUUAACUGUGCCGUAUCGAGCAACUACUUAUGGACAGCUGGUUGAAAGCAGAUUCUUGUCACAGCUGCAUGGUUUGCGUAACAAUGAAGCAAGUUUAUCUGAUGGCAUUCGUCUCAUCCCUCCAGGACAGGAUAGUGUUUUGAGCAUCAAACACCAGCAGUAUGCCAUGCAUUGCAAUCCAAUAAGAGAAGAAAUAAAACUGCUUUCAGAACCCUUCAAAGUUUUUGAAUUUGAAUUUUGGAAACGGCCAGAGAGUCAUGGAGAAACUGAUCUGCAGAUAAAGGCAACUAAUGAUGGUAGAGUUCAUGCUGUGAUCUCAUGGUGGGUACUUCAACUUGAUCAAGAAGGGACAAUCUAUUAUUCCACUGCUCCUCGGUGGAUAGACUUACCAGCAGUUACAAGUUCUAUUGAUUGGUGUGACCAUUGGAAACAGUGCGUUUGGUUUGUUCCUGGUGAUGGUAUUACCACAUUCAAGGGGGACGAAAUUUGUUUGCGUGCUAUACAUACUGAUACCAGGAUCUUGUACAAUCUAGAGACCCAAAUACCAAGAACUGAAGUUUUACAGCAUAGGUUGAGUGAUGCAGAUUUACCAAUCGUACUGUCACCAGAAAGGAUCGCAAUCUAUGGAGACAGGGAAUGGAGGCUUUCAAUAUUGAAAACAGUGGAAAAUGUUCUGCAGGGAAAAGUUUGCUUGUUAUGCUUGGCUGCAGAUGAUAGUGUAUUUUUACCUCUUCUUGUGGCACAUCUUUCAGAGAGAUCACAUGUAAUUUCUUUAUUUCCUGGGCUGGGGAGGAAGGGCCUCCAAUAUUUGCAAGCUGUUUGUCAUGCGAAUGGUUUAUCAAGUGAUCGCAUAGAAGUUAUAGAAAAAGGGGCGAAACAUUUGACCAUGCAUGAUACACAUCAGAAAAAGGCUGACCUGUUGAUAGCAGAACCAUUUUAUUAUGGACAUGAUGGCAUGCUUCCUUGGGAGAACCUGCGGUUUUGGAAAGACCGGACAACUCUUGAUUCCAUCCUCUCUGAAGAUGCUGUGAUUGUUCCUCGUAAAGGAAUAUUGAAGGCUUGUGCCAUGUCUCUUCCUGAUCUUUGGAAAAGUCGCUGCUGCUUGAGGAAGAUAGAAGGUUUUGAGCAUUCAGUGGUAAAUACCACAUUAGGGGCUUGUGGCCAUCUACCUGAAUCAGAAGAGGCUCCUUGUCUUCCCUUUUUUGUCUGGCAAUGUGGGGAAUUUGAGGAACUUAGUGAGACAUUUGCAGUUAUGGAGUUUGAUUGCUCAAAACAAAUAGAUCUAUGUCAAGGGAAAUCCCAGGUAAAGUUUAUUAAGAACGGGGUGUGCCAUGGAUUUGUACUGUGGAUUGACUGGGUGAUGGAUUUGCAGAAUGCCAUUGUUUUGUCUACUGGUCCAGACAAGAGAUAUUGGAAGCAGGGAGUGAAGCUUCUGGCAACACCAAGGGCAGUAGGACCCCAAGGCUCAAGAAAUGUGGGAGAAUCGUGUUCUGCAGUUGUUGAAGCAUCCUUUGAUCCAUCAAAUGGGGGACUCAAAAUAGUGUUUGAUUUCUUGUGAUGCCCAUAUUACAAUGUUGCAACUGGAAAGAGCGCGAAAAUCAGUGGUAGACAAGGUGGGCAGCUGACAUUGUGUUGAUGAAUUGAUCUUGACAAGUUCGAGAAUUUGUGGGGUUCAGCUCUUGCUUUCCUUGUCACUUUUCUAAAGCUGAUGCACCUAUGCUGCCUCUGCUUAGAUCUGAUGGAGCAACUUCACAGAACCUGAAGCAGUAUGUCACAACUGAUAAGCAUCCAAGCUGGGCAGGAUUGCCAUUUUUCUGCACUGUCUGAAACGUUUUGAUUACCAUACAACAAAAUUCUCAAUUCAUGUAAUCGAAUCAUCGAAUAUAUAUAUAUAUUUAUAUUACUCAUCAA